CACAUAUAUAGGGUGUUCUUCUGAAGCGGCUUUUCAAUUAGUUUUUUUUAAUUCAGUCAACGCUGUCCCUCAAACACCCUCUCCAAUGCUCGACGAUGUUUGAAUUUACUUUCCCUUCCCAAAUGACAUCCAAAGGUUCUGACAUAACGAAGUAGCGAGAAUCGUCCUUAUACUCCGUAAACUGAGGAAAAAUAAAUGCCUCACGGGAAGACGUUAAAGCUGCCCGUGUCUUCCCGUCAAAACUCAAGGCCGAUCCCGUCACUGCCCUGUCGAGGGUCAGAGACGGCCUAUUCCCGCGGAGCAGCACCGUGCUUUCCUGAACACCCGCUCCCGAUGUCCACCGUGAGUUUUCCAGCUUUCAAAGCGCAUAAAACACUUCAAGCUCAGGUUGACGUCGUGACAACUUCAGAUGACAUCAGCCGUUCGCGUGAGGGAUCAGCGCGCUCGUGCAUAUCUGCCAACUCCAGAAGACCAAUUCUGAAAGAUUUCAACUUCCAAGAAGAAGAAAACACUGAUGGCAUUUGACAAGUCAAAGUGUGCUGAGGCAACGCCUCAAGCCGUUUGAUCGGGCUGGCAGUUCAACACUCGUGGAGUUCAGAGAAAGAAUGAGCUCUCAUACUCUAGUGCUUAAAACCCCGCGCCAGUGCUCCGACAUUAUCCACCUCUUUAAUCUCCACUUUGUCCGUUUAGCAUUCCUCCGAAACUCCGUUCGAGACCGCUAUGUUUCACGGGCAAGCUCAUGCCAGGCGAACGCUCCGCAGCUGCGUCGCGUCGCGUCCUCUUCCGUUCGCUCUCGGUUCUCCUCCCCGUCUCCACGAGCCUGUUAAAAGGAACGGCGGCUUCAGGCAGGAGUUGGACACCGCUGGUAGACGCUUUACCCGGGCGCUGCGAUCACGAGCACCACCACCAUGUUUUGAGCACACUCGGAAAAGAUGGUUGUGGGCGUGCGGUGGGGUGGACAGCUUCACACACUGUGGAAAUUAGGGGAGGAGGGGGAUAGUCGCUGGGGAGCGCGCACGCAGGGCUCUUUAACGGAGGCGCGCACGCACGGGAACAGCUUCACUCUCAAGUUUGACUGAUGUUCCCUUGGCCUGGAGUUCAUGUUAUACCAUCAAAAGAACAGGUACGGUUAGUAUAACUGUCGCUCUAUUAGUCUCUGAGAAAUUCAUAGCUGUUAUAUAAGUAAGUUAGUAAAAAAUAAGAAAGUAAAUAAACUUGUGUACUAAA